rnacentral:rRNA from 1 species
AGCAGCCGGUCUAAGUUUCUUGGAACAGGACGUCAUAGAGGGUGAGAAUCCCGUAUGCGACCGGCUGGCACCUUACACGUAGCUCCUUCGACGAGUCGAGUUGUUUGGGAAUGCAGCUCUAAAUGGGAGGUAAAUUUCUUCUAAAGCUAAAUACCGGCCCGAGACCGAUAGCGCACAAGUAGAGUGAUCGAAAGAUGAAAAGCACUUUGGAAAGAGAGUUAAAAAGCACGUGAAAUUGUUGAAAGGGAAGCGCUUGCGACCAGACUUGGGGGCGAUGUUCCGCCGGUCUUCUGACCGGUCCACUCAUCGUCCGCAGGCCAGCAUCAUCUGGGGCCGCCGGAUAAAGGCUUGGGGAAUGUAGCACCCUUCGGGGUGUGUUAUAGCCCCUCGUGCAAUACGGUGCGCCCCGGGUGAGGUCCGCGUCUCGGCGAGGAUGCUGGCGUAAUGGGUGUAAGCGGCCCGUCUUGAAACACGGACCAAGGAGUCGACCAUCUGUGCGAGUGUUCGGGUGUCAAACCCUUGCGCGUAAUGAAAGUGAACGGAGGUGGGAACCCUUACCGGUGCACCAUCGACCGAUCCUGAUGUCUUCGGAUGGAUUUGAGUAAGAGCAUAGCUGGUCGGACCCGAAAGAUGGUGAACUAUGCCUGAAUAGGGUGAAGCCAGAGGAAACUCUGGUG